UUUCAGCCAAAUAUGAGCAAAGUACGCCAUUGUAGUCUUAAAGGUACUAGUUAGUCAGUUGGCCGUCCUUUCGCUUACUUAGCGGUCUUACAGUAGUUUCAAGAGAGCUAUAAAACUUUAUCAUAGAAAUAUCAAAAACGCAUUAAAUUUCAGAAAAAUGCUGUCUAGUUUAAAUCAUCUUGUAGUCAUGUAAAUUUAUUUAUCCCAAAAAUUGGGAUGCCAGGAGCUAACAAGGAUGUAAAAAUUAUAACGGAAACACCAUUAAACAAUGCAAGAAAGAUGGCUAAAUGUAAAUAAAUAUUAAAUUAAUAUUAAUUACAAAAAAAUGUCCCUGCAAAGUAUUCAAAAAUAUUUAUUGACGCUCUCUAAUGAAUUAUUUAAAACUCUAAUUAACUCAAUAAUCUUUUGACCACAGUGAAUCUUUCCAUAGCGGAUACCAUGGUAUCGAGUCUCUAUGCGACGUUCAAUUGAGUGUCUGCAUGUUGGACAACGACUGGCCUUUCGACAUGUUGCUAUUAUGAAGCCGUUGGAAUCACGCGUGAGUAAGCGGUGCAAUCUGGGCAUUGCCGUGUUCAUUUGGAUAACCUCAAUUGCGAUUUCAUGCCCCAUGCUGCUCUUCUUUACAACCGGCGAAGUCGAAUUGAAGGAUGGUACCCGAAUUGUAUGCUAGGCCGAGUGAUGGUUCUGCGAAUCAUUCGCAACAGGAAUAUUUGAGGGUAGGUGGCCAAUAAAGGAAGAAUUACUAUACUACUCGAUAUAAAUUACGAAUUAGAUUUCGAAUAAGCAAAUUAACUGUUCCGAAUUUAUCACUGCCUUAUAAUAGCCGGCUUACAUCAUUAUCGACAUGUUAGAUAUUCACGGUAUUGAGGCACUCCGAAGUACUUUAAGCUGUUGGUUCGCUUCGCAUGUUUUUUUUUAAUAUAUAUUUAUUUGCAAUCUAUCAAUUGACAAUCAUCAAAUUUUUUAAAUACAUUAAUAGUGACAGGAUUGAUUGUUCUCUAUUGAGACUAAUCAAUGUAUUCCUAAAUUAUUUUAUUUGCUUAAACUUCUUAAAACUACUUUUUUUUACAUUUUGAUCUUCCAUAUAGAUUUUAAGUAGUUUUAAGA